CUGACAAAAGAAACAGAUCAUGUUUAUUGAGCAAAAUUUAUAUUGCUGGAAUUUGCGUUGCUAUUUCAUGCAGUCAUGCCUCUGGUGUUAGGGAACUUCACACCGCAAGUGUCAUUUCCUUGGAUUAUUAGGCAACUAGCUCUGCUAAACUGUGGCAAAACAUAAAUCCUCCCUCCUGUUUAAGAGAGUUUGGAUGCUUCUUUCUGCUAGUGACAAGAGCUGACAGCAACAGAGAUUUCACCUUCAACUCAAAGCCCCCAAACUGAUGAUGAGCUUAGGUGCUGUGGAUCGAUUCCAUCUGUGCUGGGUUUCUCAUUAUAUGAAAUUGCUUGAGGGGCUGCCAGCAUAAUCAAGUGGGUCUGCAAUCGGCAUUAUAGUUGAAAGGUGAUGAGAUCCAGACUCAACCCAAUCCUAUGCCCAAGCCAAAUCCAUCAUCAUGGGUCUUCCUGUGAGGACAUCCUGACCUUGACCACCACAAGUUCAAACUGGGACUCUGUCAGCCACAGCAUUGCUACUGAGAAUAGAAGAUCUGGUGGGGAGCUAGGAUACCUGAAUGGUACCUUGAAACAGACUCAGAAUUUGAUGCUGGAUGACAUGUGACUGAAAUCCAUGAUGUGAUCAU